CUAUUUUUACCGUUGCAACUAUCUUCUUCAUUGAAUUUAGCAAUACCUCGCAAGCCAAAACUUACUGAGUACGCUGAAGAAAAGAAGACAGAAGAAUACCGAACAAUACCCCUCCUCUCUACACCCCUACACGUCACCGCCCUCGUAAAUGUUAUUGGCUGUUCCGGCUAUAUAUACACUCUUGUAUACCUCACCAGCUUCUCUCCAUCUAAGACUGUCUGAUUAGAGUGCUAAACUAAUCAUAAUUAUAGCUGUAAUAAUCAUUUUUAUCGUGUAAGUUUUUGUUAAUGUUGUUCGGUUUGAUCCCACUCGUUUUACACUUAGAAAGCAACUGGCAGUGCUGUGGAGUGUUUUGCUGUCUCCAAGUGUAUGUAAUUAUACUUAAUGAAUUGGAAAUUGAAA